AACGCAGGCCGCACCUAGCAAUAUCACUCCGUGUUAUUGCUGGGCAUCUACGUAUGAGUGUCAGCCCAAUAUCAUUGUGGUUCAUGAGAAAUUGAUUUUUUCAAUUGUUUCAAUCUUAUGAAUACAGCUGUUGUUACAAUAUCAUUAAAAGGAUAUUCAAAACACUGUCUGGCCUCAUAUGUGGAAGGUUACCCGCUGGAUUUAA
rnacentral:misc_RNA from 1 species